UACGUAGGGUGCGAGCGUUGUCCGGAAUUAUUGGGCGUAAAGAGCUCGUAGGCGGUGUGUCACGUCGGCCGUGAGAACCUGGGGCUUAACUCUGGGCGUGCGGUCGAUACGGGCAUCACUAGAGUUCGGCAGGGGAGACUGGAAUUCCUGGUGUAGCGGUGAAAUGCGCAGAUAUCAGGAGGAACACCGAUGGCGAAGGCAGGUCUCUGGGCCGAUACUGACGCUGAGGAGCGAAAGCGUGGGGAGCGAACAGG
rnacentral:rRNA from 1 species